GGCUCAGGAUGAACGCUAGCGGCAGGCUUAACACAUGCAAGUCGAGGGGUAGAAGCAGCUUGCUGCUUUGAGACCGGCGCACGGGUGCGUAACGCGUAUACAAUCUACCUUAUACAGGGGAAUAGCCCAGAGAAAUUUGGAUUAAUGCCCCAUAGUGUUAUCGAAUCGCAUGAUUUGAUAACUAAAGUUCCAACGGUAUAAGAUGAGCAUGCGUCCCAUUAGUUAGUUGGUAAGGUAACGGCUUACCAAGACAAUGAUGGGUAGGGGUCCUGAGAGGGAGAUCCCCCACACUGGUACUGAGACACGGACCAGACUCCUACGGGAGGCAGCAGUGAGGAAUAUUGGUCAAUGGGCGCAAGCCUGAACCAGCCAUGCCGCGUGCAGGAAGACGGUCCUAUGGAUUGUAAACUGCUUUUAUACAGGAAGAAACAACUCUACGUGUAGAGUCUUGACGGUACUGUAGGAAUAAGGAUCGGCUAACUCCGUG
rnacentral:rRNA from 1 species